UGCCUGUGAAUGGUAAAGUUGUUGCAAAAAUGGUAAAUGUGUUGCUUUUUUUACCGAUUUGGUAAAGUUGUUGCCCAAAGCAACAACUUUCCAUAUGAAAAUUGGUAAAUGUGUUGUCAUCACCAUUGACAAUACACACGGGCCUGCUCCUGCGUGUAUUAUCGCAUAGACUUUAAAAGAGACUACCAAGGCGCUUGAUGGAUGCGCAUGCUGCAUGCAUGGAGUCCUACAUAUAUACAUGUAUGUACAGUUUGACAGAAUGAUGGUGUUAUGGCAGAUGAAUGAGAUGAGAAUUACGAAUGGAGGUGCUCCCAGUGAUUCCAGAGCUGUUCUUCCAAGAGAGUGUCAACUAGCACUGAGCCUGGAUGUAAGGAUGUCACUUCUGGAUCAAGAAGCGAUUUGAUUGUGGAGCCUGGAUGUAAGGAUGUUCCUUCUGGAUCAAGAAGCGAUUUGAUUGUGGAGCCUGGAUGUAAGGAUGUUCCUUCUGGAUCAAGAAGCGAUUUGAUUGUGGAGCCUGGAUGUAAGGAUGUUCCUUCUGGAUCAAGAAGCGAUUUGAUUGUGCUUACUGUUGUACAAAGUUGGCAACCGAGUAUUGGGGAAGCAGUUGUGCACACAACGUGUCCUUCAGCGUAGACUCCUCUAACCAGAUGGAGAGCAGACAAUGAUCAAGCUCAUUUUACAGGCUGCCCUUUCAAAUGCGUCCAAGAUGAAGAAAAGGCCAUUUCGAGCAUUGACCAAUGCUGUGUAUGACCCGAUGUCUAGGAAAGGACCCCUAGGAUGCUCAGCGAAGGCUUUCUACAAAAAAUUAAUCAUGUAACACUAAGGAAUCU